ACGACGAACUCGUGCCCUUUAACUGGGCUCUUACCUGCUACAAUGGCGUAUACAACGAGUUGCCCACCUGCGAAGGUGAGCUAAUCUCUUAAAGUACGUCUCAGUUCGGACUGCAGUCUGCAGCUCGACUGCACGAAGUCGGAAUCGCUAGUAAUCGCGGAUCAACACGCCGCGGGUGAAUAAGUUCCCGGGGUCUUGUACACAGCGCCCGUCACACCAUGGGAGUUUGUUAAUGUCCCAAAGCCGGUGGGCCUAACCUUCGGGAGGGAGCCGUCUAAGGCACGACAGAAGAACUGGGGUGAAGGCCUAACAAGGUUAACCUUGUUUACAAACCGCGGGUUGAGACCCCCUCCUUAAAA
rnacentral:rRNA from 1 species